GUUGGCCGGCGACCGCGGAGCUUGAACCUGACAGAGCCGGAGUUGAGCCAGCAGGGACGCGCGGAGGGGCGAGAGAGCCCUCAGAGAUGUCCGCGCGCCUGCGAACCAACCCUGAGCAAGGGUGUCUGUGUUUGUGAAGCGCUCCCUCACUGAUUUCUUCUGUGGGACCCUAGUUGAAAAGGGAAAUAACCUGCGGGGAAAGAAGGACAAAGUGCUGAGCACUGCUGGACAUCAUAUGAAGAGAAGGACUCCAGUCUUCAAAAGCUUUCUGAAUUCUAUUUGUGGCCCCUGGAGGACUGAGAUGCUCUUCUGAUUUAGAUCUGCUGCUGCUCCUCAUGGCUGAACCCAACUGAAGACCAAAAGGAACCAUUCAUAUCCUGUUAGAGAAGGCACAUAGGAGGAUGGAGAAGGAAAAGCACCAAAAAGGAUUAUGGACCAAAUGGGAUAAAAGAGAAAGGGAGGUUUGCUGCUGCUGCUGCUGCUGCUGCCGCCGCCUC